UACGUAGGGUGCGAGCGUUGUCCGGAAUUAUUGGGCGUAAAGAGCUCGUAGGCGGUCUGUCGCGUCUGCUGUGAAAACCCGAGGCUCAACCUCGGGCCUGCAGUGGGUACGGGCAGACUAGAGUGCGGUAGGGGAGAAUGGAAUUCCUGGUGUAGCGGUGGAAUGCGCAGAUAUCAGGAGGAACACCGAUGGCGAAGGCAGUUCUCUGAGCCGUAACUGACGCUGAGGAGCGAAAGCGUGGGGAGCGAACAGG
rnacentral:rRNA from 1 species